rnacentral:rRNA from 1 species
GGGGUUGGGGGGAGGGGAGAGGGGAGGUGCUCGCCCAGUCUCUCGGACGUCCGCAACUCGGUUUUUCGGUGACGGCUCUCUCUAUCUCAGCUCCCCCGCUCUCUGCAGGGUGCGGUGCAGCGGCGUGGCGCGCGCGCGAGGGCAGGUUUGGGGCGAGGUCGGGGCGGGGCGCGCUAGGCUUUGGGGGUAAUAGAUUAAGAAGCGGCCUAGCCCGGCCGUCUAGAGCGGUAACGGGUAAACAGGACGAGGCGGGAGCAGGAGACGAGGAGGACGACGGUCACGGCCGCCACCAGCACGUCAUGACAAGCCAACCAGCGGCCCCUCCGAGCGGCCCCGGCCUCCCUACACCGCCGACUUCUAGCGCCUCCCGCCCCGGCUGGGCACCGACGCGUGGUUCUUGCGCGUGCAGCCGGCGGUCCAGACCCUCAAGCUGCGGCGGCGGCUGCUGGGGCUGCGGGAGCGGCGGCAGCUGCGGCGCGCGGCCCUCAAGCGGCGCGCGGCGGUGGUCGAGUUCGUGUCGCGGCUGGAGGGGUACGCGUAGGUCGAACGUUUUCUUUUAGGUGAAUUCAACCUAGAAGGACGAUAGUUCGACCCCCUCUUACUUCUACAGUGCCUCCUUCGACACAGCUGGUGAAACUCUUCCCGCGAGUCGUGAAAAAGAUGAGAGGUCCGUGUGCUACCUGUGACCGGACCCCUAAUACCCCCAGGAUACAAGGAAUACGGUCCUAACGAAUAUUACGAUGUACAAUGACCUCGUGACUUGUGACAAAAUAGUAGUCUUGUAGUUUUCCUCUAGGCAGCUAUAGAGAUAUUAGUAGUCUUACUUCUACCUCCAACCCCUAAUGUGUAACUCCCAGGUUCGUGGUACAAACCGAGUCGGAACUGGAUACAAAGAAACUCUAACGAACCACUCCCUGGUCUAUCACCUCUACCUCGAUACCUCUUUCCAGCUUUGACCUAAAAUCUGGUACCCCCUCGUUGAAUAUAUUGUAGUACCCCUUUCAAAACCGAGCGCCAUGAACCACAUAAACUAACCAGACCAUUGUUAGGUGACGGUGGCCUUUGUACCUACAACGGCAUAACGGACGGUCAGGUGGGUCCAGCUUACACCACAGUGACGUCUUACCACAUAGAUGGGUACACGAUGCAAAUACCUUUCUCCAAACAGCCGGCUUAAUGUGGUUAAUAUAACCUUGAUUCUUUACUUGAGAAGUUUCAGGGGAUGUCGCUCCAACUAACCCUGUCACGAGCGUUAGAGACACGAUUCCUUCUAGACAUGAUGGGUGUAGGUGAGUAUGUUCUAUAGAAUACCCGGUGAGAGGUAUUUAAACAACUUGGACAAUACUACGUGACCGGACCCUUGUUUGACUCUCUCUUUAGAAACUUGGUACAGUACGUCGUACAAGUAAUACUUCUACUCUUGUGAGCUAUGUAAACGUAACCAGGACACUUGUUCCAUAAUUUAUACGAACGAACGACCUAACUUCUAGGUUUGAGUCUUCGUAAGUUCGAUGUGUAAGGUUCUUAUAUACUAAUGAAUACCCAACGACUUCUACCGUACUUCUACGUCCCAAUAUUACCGUCGGUCGAGACCCUGUGUCGAAAACGUCAAGUUCGAUAACGCCGGUGACUGGAGUAACUUCUCAAACGAGGGUGAGAAUUCGACCGUGUACUAAAAUAAUUCUUGAGAGUCCAACAACUACUGACGGGACCUCUAGACUCAAUGACCAUGGCAGUGUAUAGAUUUCCACGUACCGGGAAAAGAUGUCGACUAGUACCAACCGGAUAUAGUCUAACGUGACGUCUUCCUGAUUUCCGGAGUAAUAACGAUAGUUUCUAAAGAGGUCUUUAACACCCGCUUAGCCACCUUCAAUUGUCUGAUAUACUACGACAGUUAACAAACUACAGAACCUACUUACUUUUACCACCGAAGCGUUGUAUACUUGAGGUUUCCAGAAUACGGACCGAACUCGAAUAGUUGGGACGGCUCUGUAAGCCUCUAUAACACUAACUAAUGGGCAUACACCUUACAUGGAGUCGGCGUUAAGUCCGGGACUGUAGUAAAUUUUUCGAGAUAGGACCCGUGGCGUCCUUUCUACAUCUAUUGACAUAGUUGUUUCGACGAUCAAUGUAACUCUCGUAGGUUUCUUUUCUACCAAGUACCAUACCGAGAACCCGACACACGAAGUGGAUACCGUGUACCAAGCCUCACUUCCCCGAUGAUCGACGUCCAUCUUGGAAGUUCUCGUCAGGACGUUAGUCUUUCCGUACACUGAAAGACUACAGUUUUCUCGAAGGAAAGCCACCGACCCCUCUUUCGAUAGACAGUAGAGUUCUAGUCCAAAUGUGGUUAGAACUUCCCUUCGUAUGAGUACGACAGUUGUGACCGACCCGGUACGACUGAGAUUAACUGCGUCCUGUCCGACUCUCUCUGGGCUGCGGAGACGUAGCUCGUCGCUUCCAAAACUAUUUGAAUGUUAGUCUCCUACCCCUUAAAGGAGUCGUUCUCUAGUACCCUCAGAAGUUGUUCUUGACGUACUAGUCGAUGAGGGUCAUAGCCUUGUAGAAGGGAUAGACCCGCGAACCGCUCAUGGCGACGGCCCACGACCCGCGCCGGUUCUUCAUCAUGGCAGAAGGAAGAGAAACCGGCCCAAUGCACGACCUUGUCACACAAAGACAUUAUUACAACGAUCCACGUCCCGGACAAACCAACCUAUGGACUUGUGGCACGGACCUCUUUACCUGACGGACCUAACUCGGACUCUUCUAACUUUUAUAACGGACCGCUCCGAUGCACGCAAACCAACUACAGGAGCCUGACUACUACACGUAGGCGACACGCAGUCUCAUGCAUAUUUAGUAAAUUUAUGUCGGUCCGAUGACGACAUCCUUAUUCCUUAUCCUUCGUACCCCGUCCGAUUCGUGGGACGCCCACGCCUUCAGGGAAAGAUGAGGUUUCGAGUAUACUCGAACCUUACUUGUCAUUUAAGGCCUUUUUUAUCAUCUUUCAAGACUUUUAAGACUUAAAAAUCCCACGUUUGAAACUGUUUACAAGAGUCACGAACUUUUAAAAGAAGAACUUUGUUGUAAGCACCUUCAGUACUGUUUUCUUUGUUUUAGUCGUGAGGUUCUUACGAAAACUUGUGUAGUAAAAACCUCGUAGCCAAAACUAAAAAAAUAGUACUGAAAUACUUUACAGUAAAAUACGAUUAAAAAACGUUCGUGUAAACAGUUUCAAACGUUGGUUUUUUCUAGUUAAAGAAAAUAUUGAAAUAUGUAAAA